UGUGACGAGACAAAGAACCGAGGAACAUACACUCGCGUGACAUCUAUGGUGCCGUGACUCAGAUAUAACCUGGCUGAAACAACCUCUGCGUGGAAGAGGCCAAGCACAGCAGGAGCCCAACUCAGCGAAGCUCCCACGCUAGAAGCGGAAGGCAAAGAAACACAGCUCAGGGGAAGGCCUAUCGUGCUGGAAACCGGGACAGCGAAAAACGAACUCAGCAGAAAGCUCACGCGGCCCAGUCUCAGAUUCCAGAAGACCUCCAGUUAAGGUCAACCAGCUACAACAUGCAGUGCCAGUUCAACAAA